GCGAGCGAAAAGAAAAUAGCUCAGCACUAAGUCACUUUGUUUUUAUAACAAAUGUGAGAUGCAGUGUAUGGAAUAUCUAUAAUCUAGUAUGAAAAAUUAAUGAUUUAAGUCCUUCUUAAAAGAGGCCAUUUACCCAAAGAGGGUGCCAGGCCCGUAUAACAUUAAUGAUUACUAGAAGAUAUUUCCAAAGAGUCGUGUUGCUUGAUAGUGCAGCACUAAGUGGGUGGUAAACUCCAUCUAAAGCUAAAUAUCACCAUGAGACCGAUAGUAAACAAGUACCGUGAGGGAAAGUUGAAAAGAACUCUGAAUAGAGAGUUAAAUAGUACGUGAAACUGCUUAGAGGUUAAGCCCGAUGAACCUGAAUAUCCAUUAUGGAAAAUUCAUCAUUAUAACUAAAAUACUAUAUAUAAAAUAAAAAAUAUAUAUUAGUAUAAUAGUAAUAAUGUGCAUUUUUUCCAUAUAAGGACAUUGUAAUCUAUUAAUACAAAUAUUAAAAUUUAUCAUAAGAUCAUAAAGCAAAAGUUUAUUGAAUUUGAAUUUUUGAAAAAAUUUUUAACAUUCAAUAAAUGCUUUUGAUUUGAUAAAGUAUUGAUAGCUUUAUUGAAAUAUAGUGUAUAAAUUGUUUUUUUAAACAAUUUUACAAUAGCAUUUAUAUUAUUAUAUAAAAUGUUUAUUGUAUACACUUAUAUGAUUAACAAUGCGAU
rnacentral:rRNA from 1 species